rnacentral:misc_RNA from 1 species
CCCCCAACUAAACCAUAUCCAAGACGGGGUGGGAAGGUUGGAUGCAAGACAGACUUCUGCAAAUUUGUCCCUCCAGAAGACUUCUGAUCUGCUUGAGGCUUAGCAAGGGAGCACUCCAAAACUUGGCCAUCAAUUUCAUAUUUCUCAGUGUUCUUCAAUGCCUUCAUGGCACUCGACCUCUCUGCAAAGUGCACAAAACCAAAUCUGCUCUUUUCAUGCCCAGCUUUUGCAGGAGGGAGAACCACUUUUAUAACUU